rnacentral:lncRNA from 1 species
CAACCGGUCUUUCUCUUAACAUAACAUAUCAUAACAUUCCAAUGUGCCAGGGACGUAGAAUGGGUACAACCUGGACUUUCUCUUACUUAGUGCCAGGGUCGUAGAAUGGGUACAACCUGGACUUCCAUACCAUACCAUGCCGUAGCAUCAUCAUAUCAUAUGAGGACUAAAGGGUCAUCCAAUAACCAAUCCACAUCAACAUCAUAAAUGCAAUGCAACAUAUUCGUGGAUUCUAAUGCAAACAACCUAUUUCAUCACAUGGCAUUCAUGAUGCAUGAACAUGCUCAACUGUAUAAUUCAUUUGCUUUAAAAAC